rnacentral:rRNA from 1 species
ACAACGCUGGCGGCGUGCCUAAUACAUGCAAGUUGAACGCAACAAAGACACCAGAGCUUGCUCUACCGUCUUUGUUGAGUAGCGAACGGGUGAGUAACGCGUGGGUAACCUGCCUUAUAGCGGGGGAUAACUAUUGGAAACGAUAGCUAAUACCGCAUAACAAUAGAGAUUGCAUAAUCUUUAUUUGAAAGUACCAACUGGUACACUAUGAGAUGGACCCGCGUUGUAUUAGCUAGUUGGUAGUGUAAUGGACUACCAAGGCGAUGAUACAUAGCCGACCUGAGAGGGUGAUCGGCCACAUUGGGACUGAGACACGGCCCAAACUCCUACGGGAGGCAGCAGUAGGGAAUCUUCGGCAAUGGACGAAAGUCUGACCGAGCAACGCCGCGUGAGUGAAGAAGGUUUUCGGAUCGUAAAACUCUGUUGUUAGAGAAGAAUGUUGAUUAGAGUGGAAAAUUAAUCAAGUGACGGUAUCUAACCAGAAAGGGACGGCUAACUACGUG